rnacentral:rRNA from 1 species
UAUGCACGCUGGCGGCGUGCCUAAUACAUGCAAGUCGAGCGAACAGAUGAGGAGCUUGCUCCUCUGACGUUAGCGGCGGACGGGUGAGUAACACGUGGAUAACCUACCUAUAAGACUGGGAUAACUUCGGGAAACCGGAGCUAAUACCGGAUAAUAUAUUGAACCGCAUGGUUCAAUAGUGAAAGACGGUUUUGCUGUCACUUAUAGAUGGAUCCGCGCCGCAUUAGCUAGUUGGUAAGGUAACGGCUUACCAAGGCAACGAUGCGUAGCCGACCUGAGAGGGUGAUCGGCCACACUGGAACUGAGACACGGUCCAGACUCCUACGGGAGGCAGCAGUAGGGAAUCUUCCGCAAUGGGCGAAAGCCUGACGGAGCAACGCCGCGUGAGUGAUGAAGGUCUUCGGAUCGUAAAACUCUGUUAUUGUGGAAGAACAAAUGUGUAAGUAACUAUGCACGUCUUGACGGUACCUAAUCAGAAAGCCACGGCUAACUACGUG